rnacentral:rRNA from 1 species
AUGGCCGCCGCCGUCGCCGGUUCCUCCGCCGCAUCCCUCCCGGCCCCAAUCCCCCUCAACGACAAGGCGGCGGCCGUGGGCGGCGGGGUCGGCGGCGACCGGGCUGCGGGGGGCUGCGGGGUGUGCGCGAUCUGCCUCGACAGGAUCCCGCUCCAGGAGACGGCGCUCGUCAAGGGCUGCGACCACGCCUACUGCGUCACUUGCAUUCUGAGGUGGGCAUCCUACAAGCAGACACCAGUAUGCCCUCAAUGCAAGCACCCGUUUGAGUUCCUCAGUGUGCAUCGCUCUCUUGAUGGCUGCCUUCAUGACUACAUGUUCGAUGAGAGCGUUUGUCUUCUUCUGAGAGCCACUUGGUUUAAGCCUCUGGUCGUAGAGGCUCACGAGGAGGCUCAGGAGGAAGAAGACAUUUACCGUAGUUACCAAUAUGAUGAUGGCGAUGAGGAUGACCUUUAUGAGGAAUACAUAAGCAGGUCACCGAGCAUUCGAAUUGGUAACAGGAGGUGGGGUGACAAUGGGUACGUCAGAGGGGGCAGGAGGGAGGCCAGGCCAGUAGUGAUCCCUCCUGUUGUUGAUGCUGUUCCAUCCAGGACUCCCAAGAAGAAAGAGGGAUCAGCGUCAGGUUCAGGGUCAGGUUCAGUGUCCAAGGAUGUUGCAGGGCGGCGGGCAAGAAGGGCUCAGAAGCGAGAGGCUGCCGACAAGGCGGCUGCAGAGAAGCACCUCAAGCUCCUGCAGAGGCUGGGCCGCGGGAAAACUCCCGAAGCGCCACCUGAAGCACUGGAAUCACUGGAGGUUGGUCCUCCUGUGAUCGAGUGA